GAUACAACCUUGCAAGAUAAGAUCAGUGCACAAUCUGCUGCUUAUACUGGAAGUAAUGGAAGUUUUGCAAAGGAGAUGGCAAUUAGACAAAGGGACAAGUUGAAUCCUAUCGUUUGGUGGGAAAAACAUGGAAGCUCUACACCUGAGCUUACAAAGCUUGCAAGGCGCUUACUUGGCCUUUGUUGCUCAUCCUCUGGUUGUGAGCGCAAUUGGAGCAUAUUUGAGUUUAUUCACACCAAGAAGAGGAAUAGGUUAGAGCAUCAACGUUUAAAUGAUCUUGUCUACAUCCAGUAUAAUCGAGAAAAGGGAACAAUCCAGAAAUUCUAAUCCACUGGUGCUUAAUGAUCUAGAUUGGAGUAGUGAGUGGAUGACUGGCGUAUCAGAUGAUGAAUUAGUUCAUCCUGGGGAUGAUCUCACUUGGAGAACUGUUAAUAGGGUAGCCUGGGCA